GAUGAAGAACGCAGCGAAAUGCGAUAAGUAAUGUGAAUUGCAGAAUUCAGUGAAUCAUCGAGUCUUUGAACGCACAUUGCGCCCCCUGGUAUUCCGGGGGGCAUGCCUGUCCGCGCGUCAUUGCUGCCCUCAAGCACGGCUUGUGUGUUGGGCCCCCGUCCCCGGUUUCCCCCGGGGACGGGCCCGAAAGGCAGCGGCGGCACCGCGUCCGGUCCUCGAGCGUAUGGGGCUUUGUCACCCGCUCUGUAGGCCCGGCCGGCGCCAGCCGACACCCAACUUUAUUUCUAAGGUUGACCUCGGAUCAGGUAGGGAUACCCGCUGAACUUAAGCAUAUCAAUAAGCGGAGGA
rnacentral:misc_RNA from 1 species